rnacentral:sRNA from 1 species
ACAAGGUGCACAAUAACUGAAACUAAGAA